AAGUCGUAACAAGGUUUCCGUAGGUGAACCUGCGGAAGGAUCAUUACCGAGUUAGGGUUUCGUCCGACGAGCCCGACCUCCCAACCCUUUGUCUACUAUACCUUGUCGUUGCUUCGGCGGACCGGUCGCGACCAACUAGUCGUGGCCGCCGGGGCCCGUCCCUGGAAAGCGUCCGCCGACGGCCCAACCACAAACUCUUGUACCAAACCAUGUCGUCUGAAUUUACUUGAUUAAAAUCAAAAACAAAACUUUCAACAACGGAUCUCUUGGUUCUG
rnacentral:misc_RNA from 1 species